rnacentral:rRNA from 1 species
CCUACGGGUGGCAGCAGUGAGGAAUAUUGGUCAAUGGACGCGAGUCUGAACCAGCCAAGUAGCGUGAAGGAUGACUGCCCUAUGGGUUGUAAACUUCUUUUAUAUGGGAAUAAAAUGUUCCACGUGUGGGAUUUUGUAUGUACCAUAUGAAUAAGGAUCGGCUAACUCCGUGCCAGCAGCCGCGGUAAUACGGAGGAUGCGAGCGUUAUCCGGAUUUAUUGGGUUUAAAGGGUGCGUAGGUGGGUUGUUAAGUCAGUUGUCAAAGUGUGGGGCUCAACCCCUAUACUGCCAUUGAAACUGGCGCUCUUGAGUAGAAGAGAGGUAUGCGGAAUGCGUGGUGUAGCGGUGAAAUGCAUAGAUAUCACGCAGAACCCCGAUUGCGAAGGCAGCAUGCCGGCUUCCGACUGACGCUGAAGCACGAAAGCGUGGGGAUCGAACAGGAUUAGAUACCCUUGUAGUC